GCGACGCGAAAGUACCUUACAAUAGCUCCAUUCUGAAUAUAGAGGAUUUUUUUUCUUCAAUAGUCAGUAAGGUAAGAAAUAUUAUAAGACCAUGUUAAUAUAUAUCCUCUAACGGUGAACUCGGCCGUUCAGGAUCGAAAGAAACCGUAUUGACUGAUCGCGGUUGUAAAAAUGUUCUACACUUUCGGGAAUAUUAUUUCCCUAAAUAUUAUCUUAGUUAUAGGCGGCCAAAAUUCGUGUUAUUACAAUUGAGCUUUACUCAUAGUUAGCGAUUUUUACCGUGAAAUACAUUGAGAUGCAUCUGUGCCGGAAUGCCAUUUGAAUACAGGUCUAUUGUGUGAACACGUAAUCUUCACAAACAGGCGUGUAUAUAUUUAUUACAGCUAAGAAAGCUAGCUCUUUCCAGACACUUCAUUUUUGUUGAGACAAUUAAUUCAGGCCCAAAUCCUGGCUUUACAUGUUUCUUUCUAUUUAGCGUUUCCCGGUGGUUCUGUAUUCUCGCAUCAUGGAAGAAUCAGAUGAAUUGCUUACCGAUGGAGCUGUUGGUCAUUCAGUACCGCUCGAAAGCUUUGUAACUGAAACAAACGCAAACGACCCCGAACUAAAGUCUGAGAAAAUAAAGCAGCAAGACGGUGGGUCGUGUAAUUACGAAGAAAAAUCACGAGAAACAAUUAGUGGACCUGUAAAAGAGCUAAUGGACAAUUUAG